rnacentral:rRNA from 1 species
GUACCAUACGAAUAAGGAUCGGCUAACUCCGUGCCAGCAGCCGCGGUAAUACGUAGGGGGCAAGCGUUAUCCGGAUUUACUGGGUGUAAAGGGAGCGUAGACGGCUGUGCAAGUCUGAAGUGAAAGGCAUGGGCUCAACCUGUGGACUGCUUUGGAAGCUGUGCAGCUAGAGUGUCGGAGAGGUAAGUGGAAUUCCUAGUGUAGCAGUGAAAUGCGUAGAUAUCGAGAGGAACACUCGUGGCGAAGGCGGGUUCCUGGACAUUAACUGACGCUGAGGCACGAAGGCCAGGGGAGCGAAAGGGAUUAGAUACCCCUGUAGUCCUGGCAGUAAACGGUGCACGCUUGGUGUGCGGGGAAUCGACCCCCUGCGUGCCGGAGCUAACGCGUUAAGCGUGCCGCCUGGGGAGUACGGUCGCAAGAUUAAAACUCAAAGAAAUUGACGGGGACCCGCACAAGCGGUGGAGUAUGUGGCUUAAUUCGAUGCAACGCGAAGAACCUUACCUGGGCUUGACAUGUAAUGAACAACAUGUGAAAGCAUGCGACUCUUCGGAGGCGUUACACAGGUGCUGCAUGGCCGUCGUCAGCUCGUGUCGUGAGAUGUUUGGUUAAGUCCAGCAACGAGCGCAACCCCUGUUGCCAGUUACCAGCACGUGAAGGUGGGGACUCUGGCGAGACUGCCCAGAUCAACUGGGAGGAAGGUGGGGACGACGUCAGGUCAGUAUGGCCCUUAUGCCCAGGGCUGCACACGUACUACAAUGCCCAGUACAGAGGGGGCCGAAGCCGCGAGGCGGAGGAAAUCCUAAAAACUGGGCCCAGUUCGGACUGUAGGCUGCAACCCGCCUACACGAAGCCGGAAUCGCUAGUAAUGGCGCAUCAGCUACGGCGCCGUGAAUACGUUCCCGGGUCUUGUACACACCGCCCGUCA